UACGGGGGGAGCAAGCGUUGUUCGGAUUUACUGGGCGUAAAGGGCGCGUAGGCGGUCGUGACAAGUCACUUGUGAAAUCUCCGGGCUUAACUCGGAACGGUCAAGUGAUACUGUCGGACUAGAGUACAGAAGGGGCAACUGGAAUUCUCGGUGUAGCGGUGAAAUGCGUAGAUAUCAAGCGGAACACCGGUGGCGAAGGCGAGUCCCUGGACAACACCUGACACUGAGGCACGAAAGCUAGGGGAGCAAACAGG
rnacentral:rRNA from 1 species